rnacentral:lncRNA from 1 species
UAGAGUAGAGUAAGGAAUUUAUUCAGGCAGUUAUCAAAUGUGUGGCUCACAUUGAGUGUAUAUAUAUCAGUUUACAAUAAUGAAAUCACACUUUUUGCCUCUCUUUGCUAUUUCACAUUUUCUGAGUCUCCCUCUCUUGCGUGGAGUAACUCCUCUGCCUCACCACCACGCUCUGCAACCGAACAGAGUUUUCACAAUUACUGAUGUUCACGACCGUGAAUAGCUAUUUAACAUUAUCGAUGAACCCUCUUCUUUUUUC